rnacentral:rRNA from 1 species
GACAGAGGGUGCAAACGUUGCUCGGAAUCACUGGGCGUAAAGGGCGUGUAGGCGGGAAUGUAAGUCGGGCGUGAAAUCCCUAGGCUCAACCUAGGAACUGCACUCGAAACUGCGUUUCUUGAGUAUCGGAGAGGAAAGCGGAAUACCUGGUGUAGAGGUGAAAUGCGUAGAUAUCCGGAGGAACACCGGUGGCGAAGGCGGCUUCCUGGACCGACACUGACGCUGAGGCGCGAAAGCUAGGGGAGCAAACGGG